rnacentral:rRNA from 1 species
GACGAACGCUGGCGGCGUGCUUAACACAUGCAAGUCGAACGGAAAGGCCCUGCUUUUGUGGGGUGCUCGAGUGGUGAACGGGUGAGUAACACGUGAGUAACCUGCCCUUGACUUUGGGAUAACUUCAGGAAACUGGGGCUAAUACCGGAUAGGAGCUCCUGCUGCAUGGUGGGGGUUGGAAAGUUUCGGCGGGUGGGGAUGGACUCGCGGCUUAUCAGCUUGUUGGUGGGGUAGUGGCUUACCAAGGCUUUGACGGGUAGCCGGCCUGGGAGGGUGACCGGCCACAUUGGGACUGAGAUACGGCCCAGACUCCUACGUGAGGCAGCAGUGGGGAAUAUUGCACAAUGGGCCGAAGCCUGAUGCAGCAACGCCGCGUGCGGGAUGACGGCCUUCGGGUUGUAAACCGCUUUCGCCUGUGACGAAGCGUGAGUGACGGUAAUGGAUAAAGAAGCACCGGCUAACUACGUG